UUUUUUUUUUUUUUUUUUUUUUUUUUUGAUAAUAGUCAUCCUGAUAGAUGUGAAGUGAUAUCUUGUGUUUUUUUUCAUUUGUGUUUCCUGUGUGAUUAGUGAUGUUGAAUGUUUUUUUCAUAUAUAGUACCUGUUGGCCAUUUGUAUGUCUUCUACUAAAAAAUGCCUAUUUGGGCCUUUUCCCAUUUUUUAAUCAGGUUAUUUGUUUUCAUGCUAUUGAGUUACUUUUAUAGAGGCUAACUAAAAUUCUUGAUAUUUUAGAAAGACUUCCUUCUGCCUCUCUGAUAAUAUUUUUCUUUUUCUUACAAUUUUUACAUUCCAAACCACAACACAGCUCUCCUUGCAACCAGGAGUGGCCAUGUGAUGGAUUCUGACCAACGAGAUGCAAGCCGAAGUUGCUAAUUGGGACUCCUAAAAUCACUUUUAAAAAGUCAUGGACUCAUGAUCUCUUCACCCUUCUUCUGCCUGUCUCAAAUUGUCCAUCGUCAGAUUUCUUUUUACACAAAAAAAUUAUUUUCAGCUAGGCCAUGUUAAUUUGAUUUUCUGCUACAUGCAGCUGACUGUACUGAUUAUCUAAAACUGCUUUAUAAAGUUUUGUGACUAGGGGGUGGGAGCAAUGAUCACUCAUAUUCGUUAAGUGAAAGGAUAAAUGAUUGAAUUGUGUAUCUUAAUUGUGGUAUAUUCUGUACAACAUUUUUACAAUAAAUUAUGCUGAAUGAGUUUCUUUCUAUUUGAUACCAAAGGCUAACACAUCUGAAAUAACUGUCAGUUUUUCUCCUUGCUAAAAGUACACAGAUUAAAAAAUAAGCCGUUUGGGCCAUGUGCACUGAAAGAAUGGCUAUAACUCUUGCCCUGAUCAGAGGGUUCCACAAACUAGCGUUGAACUCAGUGGGGGCCCAACAGAGAAGAAAAGGAGGAAAUCCAGGAGAUAAAUUAAGGAAUAUUUGGAGAUGGUGAGAUACUUAAAUUUUAUAAAGAUUUUUCAAUUAAAUUGAAUAAAACCCACUUUGUAAUCUCCCCCUAUUAACGAUUGAAAUCCCAUUUCCAACACUUAUUGGGUAUGUCAUCUUAGACAAGGUUGUUUCACCUUCCUGAGGUUACUAUAUUUUUUAGCAUAAAGUCAAUAUUUUACAAUCCAUCUCAUAGUAUUAUUUUUAGGAUGAACUAAAACAAUGGAUGUGAAUUGCCUAGUACUGCGCUUGACACAUAAUAUAAAGUUAGCAGACUUUCAUGCCCUGUCUGCCUCCCUGCUACCCGAUUCCCCACGACUCAUCUGCAUUGACCGAAGAAUGACUUUAAAGACAUCAGUCUAAUCUCUGAAAGCAUUUUUCCUUUUCUUACCUCACAGCCCAGUCACUAUACAAAGAUAUCAUUUCACUGGACAGAGAUAUUAGUGAAAACAAUGCCUCCUCCGACCAAGGUAUAAGUUUCUUGAAGGCAGUAACC
rnacentral:lncRNA from 1 species